GGCCGUGCCGUGCCGUGCUCCCUGCGGGGUUCUGGCGCUGCCGGGGGCGCCCGGCCGUCACUCUGCUCGCAGACUCGUAAUAUCAUUUAUUUCUCUGUGCUGUGCGGGAAAUUGAGUCUAUUUCUGUUUAAAUACUUGGGUAAUAGAGCCUGCUAUUUAGCGGAAGAUUUAUGUCGAUGGCUCUUUGUUUCACGCGAUUGGGCAUCACUGUGUGUACGUUGCGCUGCUAAUGAAGCUGUGCGGCUGCUGCCAUUUCAGAGCAGAACGAGGAGGAGAAGCCUCCAGCCUGCGAGCAACGGGACGGGAGAGCCUUGUGCUGUUAAAGCCAACCUGUGAUCUGCAGCAAUAGAAGGCAGGAGAGCUGGGCACGGAGCAGCCUGUGCUGGAGCCGAACGUCAGCGCAGAAGCCAAAGUUUUGCUGUGUUGGAAUUUUAGAGCUCCCAUAAAUGCACUUUGUCACUGCAUUACCCAGAUUGAUUUGGUCUUAAAUGCAACUUCUCCUCCUUUUCUAAAGCUUCGUAUUAUUUAACGUUGGUCAUUAUUUGGUGCUCAGUAUUUCUUCAAUCUGGCAUUUUUAUCGUCGUAGGCAAUACAGUAACUUUUAAGAACUGAGUUCAAUACAUUCUCAUAUGCUUUAAAUUUUAUAUUUCAUUAUUGAUGAGUGUUGAUUGCUUUCCACAGAAGAAGUAAGGUCCUUGCAGCCCCAUCCCCUCAGCAGCAGGGCUAUUCCCUGUUCCUGCAUGAGAGACUGUGAUGUUUGCGCUGUGCAUUUCUCUCCUGGUAAGGCAGUCCCAUGGAUAACCAUCUGCAUGGGAACUGCUGAGUCCUGGCCUGCACCACUGAUGGAGCACCUGGGAAAGGACCCGGUCAGAUUUGUCCGUGGGGAUUAUUUGCUGGAGGGAAGUUGUGACAUGCAGGGCUGUAAUUCCUGAAAUCCUGAGAAAGAUGAUCGUUUGGAGAAGUUCAGAAUGGUGAAACAGCAAAAUUAAUAAGUAAUGCUGACCAGUAUAGCCGGGUUUGGUGCUGGACAUUCACUGCUGACAUCCAUCCUGCAGCCACGGAGACUUCAAGGCAAUGAUUUUCUACAGGAGAGUUUACAAUGAAGAUCUUCUGAGCACAGAAUUUGGUGUUCUGUUCCUGUUUUGUAGGGUAACCUCACAGAAAGGCAGAGCGUCAGUUCUGCUCAGGUUUGCUGUGUGCUGGGAGCUUUUCCUCAGUUCAUCAUAGAAGACAUGAAGAGGCGUUCUGCCUUCUAUCCUGCUGGCACGAGAGCUGUGCCCCAAGAGCCGUAGGUGGGAAUGGAGUUCAAACCACAGCAUGACCAUUCAUUCGUCUGCUUAUUCUUGAAAGCUGUACAAUCUUCUUGCUCUUGCUUUAAAUUAAAAAAAAAAUAAUCAAGAAAGCGAAAGUGAGCAUCUCUGCUACUGUAAGCAAUGACAGCAUGUAACAGAACCUGUCUUGCAGGCUGCAGGCAGCACACAGCGAGCAGAUGGAGAAACUUGACCACGGAGUCGCUCAGUGCUGUGUUAGAAAUCCAUUAAAAAUGUUGGCUGUGUUUGCAGAGCUCUGGAAAAGAAAAAUGCAGAUGAGCUAUGUGCCUGGAAUACAUGCACAGGCUUUAGUUUUACCCCUGAAGUUGCUCUCCCUGUAAGCAACAGCUGUGUGUAUGCAUUUCAUUUCUUUUAAGCUGUUAGAUGGGGUCUCUGUAGCGGCUUGGCCACAGCUUAUUUCAGAGACACAUUUUGCCCACAAGUAAUAAAUGGCAAUGCAAACAGGUAUUAUGUAGAGGUAGAAAAGAAGUUUCGUGUGAGUGACGGAGCUUGGUGAGGAUUCUCCUCACUUCCACUGUGCCUGCCUGACUUCUUCCAGCACCUGGUUUGCAUCCUUCCUAACGGUGCAAUCGGACAGCCCUUGCUUCUCUUGCACCUGCCCUGGCUGGCUGGGAGAAGUAAGGCUGCUGCUUGCAAAGCCCAGACUUCACCCUCAUGUCCCAGCAGCAGCACUGCUGUGUCCUGCAGGAGGUGUGGGGCUGAGGGGAUGGAGCAGACAGAGCAGCAGGAGACAGCGCUGGGAGCUUCAGCUGGAUGAGUGAGUGCAGCUGAGCUCAUGUACUGCGAUGCUAAAUACUGAAUGUUGUGGGAUGAGAGGGACAGGUGAACUGCUCAUGGAACUGUUCUUGGACGUUAAAGACAACGAUCUUUCUAGUCACUUUUUGUUACUGGCACCAAAUCUAUUCUCUGGCAGCUCUAUUUCUUUAAAUGCAUAACAGCCCCGCAGUGCCCCAUCUCACAGGGAUCUUUCCCUGCCCUCUGAAGUCGCAAAGAUCUCUGCUGGCAUUAAGCACUCCAAGGGCAAAGCCGGAGCGAUUGUAAGGCUGCGUGAUAAAGGAGCGAUUCUAGCAGAGCAUCUUUGUUACGUAGAUGUGCGGUUUAUCCGUUGUCUCUGAAAUGUUGCAGUAUUUCAGUCAUUUUCACUUCUUGGUUUCUUUUUUAGAUUCCUUUCCCUUGGCUUGAAUGUAUAUGGGGUGGAAAGUAAAGGAAGGCUGUAAUGUGGUGUUUGCUAAAUGGAGCCGAGCUCCAAUCUCAGUGUUUAACUGAGAAAUGUUUUGUCACGGUUCCAGAGGGAUGGAAGCUGUGCGCUCUCUGUGGAGGCAGCAGGGCAGUAUGUGCUGUGCCUGCAGCUUCCCUGCCUGUGUGCUGGCAGUGGGAACGCAGGUGAUCAAACUCAAACACUGUGCUUCUGCGUGUCUCUUAACCUCUUAUUUAAACCUUACAGGGUUCGUGCAGCUGUGGGGUGCCCGACAGACGCCGUGUGCUCUGUCCUGUCAGCUGGGCUCUGGUGUGCACUGAAUGCAAUCCCAGCAGGUCUGCAGUGGAGGAAGCUCCCAGUGCUGCCCAGCAGUGUGCGGGAUGCUCGGGGCAGGGCAGCUCCUGGCACAAGGCACAGCACCUCUGGGAUGGAGCAGCUUUUAAGCUGAAGCCACAGAGGUGCGGUGUGUAAUAAGUAGGCAAAGUUUGCUCUGCAUUUCGAGUGCAUCAUUGUGCUCUAAGUAGUGCAGAUUUGGCUCCUUUAACCCUGAUCUCCUGGGGCUGAGCUUUAAGUGUUUGAACUUUAGUUGAAAGGAAUAUAUUGAUUAGGCUUUGAUUUAGUCAUUGCUUGCUGGAAAGAUACCGGGUAACAACUCGUAUCUGCCCAUUUGGAUUUUUAGUCAUUACAUGGAUUCCCCUCUCCUUCCCCUUUUCUUCCUCAACACUUUUCUGCCUAAAAGUCUGCAGUGCUUUGAGGAGAAAUAAAAGAAAAAGCAGCUGUCACACUGUGAACAUAAUUGAUUCAAUAAACAACAUUUUCAAGUCCCCUGGGGUGAACCUCAGCGUCCUCGCUUAUGUCAAUUAGUGCUUUAUUCUGCUAAGUGUGGCACCUCUCCUUGAGAUGGAUGGGCCGAGGCAGUCAGCUCGUUGUCUUCGAGGAGAAGCUGUGAGAGAUGGACUGGUUGCUGUAGAUAGAAAAUACCCCGUUCAUUUGUUAUGGACAUGUGAAAGGAAGCUUUCCUGACCUAUUUGUUAAAGCUAAUUGCCUUUUUUCUUGGUUUUGUGGUUUUCUUUUUUCUCUGAAUGGCCCCAGCUGAGACGUUCUUUUUCUUUUGCUGCAGCAGAGAACAGCCCGGGUUAAGCCUUCGCCCAUCUCAGUUGCAGAUAACCUUAUGUCUGCAACAUCGGAGCAAAGUGGAGCAGCAGAGCUGGCAAAGGGGUGCUAUUCAGUGUGCAGAGCGAAGGCGUGGGCGAGGAGGGGUGCUUUAGGUUUUCUUCUACACGGUGACCAUGUUUUCUUUCUUCUGCUUGUACAACAAAUGCAGAGCUGCUUGUUUUGCACUACUGAAGCUUGCACUUGAAUCCAAAUCAAAACUGAGGAGAGCCUUGCUGCAAAACACCACAUCCAGCCCUGGCACGGAAGAGCACUUAACAAACAAAACAGCAAAGCUUCCCAUCCUGAGGGAAGCAGCUCAGUGCAUCCAAAUGGAGGUGGUGGGAAGCACCUGGGGCUGAACUGCCCUGCACCCCAACAAACCAACAACCCAAAUGGUGCCUUACUAACAGUUUAUUGUCUCACGGUUCCUUUUCCCUUCACAGAUCCGUUCUUGAGAGGAAAUGCUCACCCUGUGGUCCUCUGAUGGUGUCUGUGACUUUGUUCAGUAUUGUUUUCCUACAUUAUAGAGUUACUGAUGUGUAGAACUUCAAUCACUGCAGACCCAACCACUUGCAAAGAAUACAAGCGAUGGCGUUUCCCUUCUAAGGAGGAGUGCAUUGAGAAGCAAGGAGCAGGGGCAGAACUGGAACACAGUGUGUGACAUAACUGAUUUGCUGCGGGAUCACAGCACCUCGGAACAGCGUGGGAGCUGCAAAGAGUCCUCUGUCCUCUCCGGUUCCUCUCUGAGAAGUCAGUGGUGUUUGGUGCCAUGCAGGCAGCAGGGAACCUGCAGAGAGUAAAUAUGGGAUCAAAAAAUGCUUUUUUUCUCUAGGGUGUUACUGUGUACUGUGGGGCUCCUCUUUCUGAUGUGUGAGGUACUGAAGCUGUGUGUAAAGUUGCCAUUUAUCUGUGCUUUUGUUCAGGGUAUUAACAUGACGGAGAGGCUUUUUCAGGAGCAGCUUGUUGAGGUGCUCCUGUGAGCUGUUGUAAAUGCAGCAUCCUUCUACAGGAGAAAAAGAACCUGCAUUGUUUCCUGGGAACAGAAUAUCUUCAUUGCCAUCGCGACUCCAUGGCUGUUAUCUGAUCUUCAUUGGUACCAUUUUACUGAGGGGAGAGAAUUCCAUGUGUGGAGGUGGGGGGGAAAAAAGAGACGACUGUAGACUGGAACACUGAUUGUGAAAUCACAGAGAAAAAAUGUAAGCUUGGGAAUGGCAUCUCCUUGUGAAUUUGGUGCACCAUCCCUAGGGACCGCAUUCGAUCAGGGAACGCGGAGCCCUGCUGCACAAACAGCCCUCGCUGCCAUGAGGAGCCCCGAGCCUCUCCAGCCCAUUGCUGUCUUUCUCGGAGGCACAAGCACAGCCCAUGCACUGCUCUGAGAUGGACUUCACUGCCCCAAAACAAAGCUCGACCUCAGCAGCACAGUGGGGCUGCCGCUUCCUGCCUGUGUCAGCACUGCUCGUUAUUACAGCCCUGAUGGCGGUGUUUGGUUACCGUGCUCCCGCCAG